GAUAAUUUUUUUCAUUUCCUCGCAAAUAUUUCUUAUUGUCUACAUAUUAUUUGUAUUUAACAGAAACGUGGCUUUUUGGAUUAUCUGCUGUCGGGACUCGUUGAAUAUUUUGAUUACAGCGAUGAAGAUGACUCUGAAGAGGAUGAAAAAUACUUGAUAUGUCGAAAUUGCACAAUUCUUAUUAGCCAGCAAGAUAGUCACAUAAGCGCCGCGGUGCGACCAACUGUUGCUCCCGCAUCUUUGGAAGGCGAAAAUAAGUACCCAAAUGGAGUAGCCACUACUGUACCAAGCGCACCUGUGACAGCUGCAGCACCCAGUGACACGGCUUCAAUAGCACCCACGCCAAUUCCAUAAGGAACAUUAAAAGUCAACAUUAAAUAAGAGUAUGCUUCAAUUUUAAAAUAAGAGUUUAAGUGGUUGUAGGUACAAUAUGGUUUAUUCAACACGGGGGUUUUUACAUUUUAUCGAUAACAACCAGCAUAUCGCUCAUUAACUUCAAUAUUUAGUGUCAUAACUCAAGAAAGCAAAACUCGUGAAAAACGGCUUUAAAGUUUUGAAUAUACUCCUAUAGUAAAACUGAAUACAUAAUUUGUUCCACAUAGUGAGAUAUUGGUAAUCGAUAGAGCUAGGGAAUUUUUACACAACAUAGAAAGAGAGGUAGUGGUAUUUUUUUGCAUACUCCACUCAGUUUUUAAUUUUUUAUAUUAAGACACAAUCGAGGUAAAUGAGCGAUAUGUUUUAUAAAUAUUGCACAUGUAUGUACAUACAAACAUUUAUAACGACCGCUUUGCGCUAAAUUAUCGUAAGUUACAACAACCUAAUUUUACAGGAAAGUGUUUUUUUUUUGUAUUUUUCUCUGCUUUGGCUAGCACCAUCAAUACUAAAGUUUAGAUUUGCUGAGAUAAUUGAGAAAUAUAACUAAACGCAAAAUUUUUUUGUAGACAAGUUUUCAUAUUCUAAUUUCUUAGCAGAUACAAUAAUUUCGCCCACAAGAAAAAAACUCAUUGUUACAUACGACAAAAAUUUACAAUGAAUUUUUGUGGUAGCUAUUGGGAUCUAAGCCGUAAUAUUUGAACAGGUGAUGCGUUAUGGGGUGUGGAACAAAGUUACAUCAAAAAGUGAAUUUCGUACAAAUUUAACAUACGAUACUUUGGCGCAAAGGGGUCGAUAUGUACUUAUACACACGAAAUAACGAAACAAAUGAUUUUAAGAAAAAAAUUAGUCAGACAUAAAACAUGAAACAGGCAAAUAAAUGUCACCAGUACGGCGAAAAGGAGGCAUUAAAAACUAAAUAGAAUUAAAAAAAAGUCAGAAAAGACAUUAGCUUAAGAACUUUUUGUUACAACAAAACUAAACCUAAAUAAAUACAUAAGCUGCAGGAAAAAUUGAUGUAAACUUGAUCAAAAACUGUUCAAACUGUUUAUGUUCAGAGACCCACCACAGCGUUACAAUAUUGUGGGCUCUUAGGUGGCUUAAGAGAGUUUUCUACAAGCCUUGAUGGCGUUCUUAAUAAGUCUAACGCCUUUAAUGCUGCCUGACUAUCUGACAUAAUGUAAAUUCUGGCCCCAUUUAUUGUUCUGCGAAGACAAUCUCGAAUAUCUUGGUUCAAGUUCUCUAUAGAUAUGCAUUUUUCAUAAUUUUAUGUACCUGAAGAUGACUUCAGAUUGAAGUCGACAUACAUAUUGACAAAUCAAUGCAAAUACAUUAUAAAAUUAUGUGUUUAAUUUAGAUACAUAUAUAUGUACGUAUGUAUGUACAUCUGGCCUUGAGCUCACCAAAAGCUAAUACUAUGCUUACACGCAUAAAUAUGGAUAUGUGUAACAGUACAUUUGUGCAUACGUACUUAAUUAAGUGGCGCUAAAACCGAAGAACCACCAAAAAAAAAAACGAAAACAUUUAUUCAUAACAUCUUGACAAACACGGUGGUUUCACUCUUCAAAAAGUUGUACAUAAUUCAAAAGAGCAAAAAUUUUGUGGCGCUACACUGCAGCAUAAUAGGGGAAUUUUAUUUGUUGG